CACGUAGGGCGCAAGCGUUGUCCGGAAUUAUUGGGCGUAAAGCGCGUGUAGGCGGUCCGGUAAGUCCGCUGUGAAAGUCGGGGGCUCAACCCUCGGAUGCCGGUGGAUACUGUCGGGCUUGAGUACGGAAGAGGCGAGUGGAAUUCCUGGUGUAGCGGUGAAAUGCGCAGAUAUCAAGGAGGAACACCAAUUGCGAAGGCAGCUCGCUGGGACGUUACUGACGCUGAGACGCGAAAGCGUGGGGAGCAAACAGG
rnacentral:rRNA from 1 species